ACCUCAAAUCAGGUAGGACUACCCGCUGAACUUAAG
rnacentral:rRNA from 2 species